UUUUGCAUUCGCUUUACGUUCCAUAAUGCUGUUACCCACUGCGUGCAACAAGUGGGUUUUACCCAGUCCUGUUCCACCAUA
rfam:Proteus penneri ATCC 35198 genomic scaffold Scfld2, whole genome shotgun sequence.